rnacentral:rRNA from 1 species
CACGUAGGGGGCGAGCGUUGUCCGGAUUUAUUGGGCGUAAAGAGCUCGUAGGCGGUUUCGUAAGUCGGGUGUGAAAACUCCAGGCUCAACCUGGAGACGCCACCCGAUACUGCGAUGACUUGAGUCCGGUAGGGGAGCGUGGAAUUCCUGGUGUAGCGGUGAAAUGCGCAGAUAUCAGGAGGAACACCAACGGCGAAGGCAGCGCUCUGGGCCGGAACUGACGCUGAGGAGCGAAAGCGUGGGGAGCGAACAGG